CCUACGGGGGGCAGCAGUGAGGAAUAUUGGUCAAUGGACGCAAGUCUGAACCAGCCAUGCCGCGUGCAGGAAGACGGCUCUAUGAGUUGUAAACUGCUUUUGUACGAGGGUAAACGCAGAUACGCGUAUCUGUCUGAAAGUAUCGUACGAAUAAGGAUCGGCUAACUCCGUGCCAGCAGCCGCGGUAAUACGGAGGAUUCAAGCGUUAUCCGGAUUUAUUGGGUUUAACGGGUGCGUAGGCGGUCGGAUAAGUUAGAGGUGAAAUCCCGAGGCUCAACUUCGGAAUUGCCUCGGAUACUGUUCGGCGAGAGAGUAGUUGCGGUAGGCGGAAUGUAUGGUGUAGCGGUGAAAUGCUUAGAGAUCAUACAGAACACCGAUUGCGAAGGCAGCUUACCAAGCUACUUCUGACGUUGAGGCACGAAAGCGUGGGGAGCAAACAGGAUUAGAUACCCGAGUAGUC
rnacentral:rRNA from 1 species